rnacentral:tRNA from 1 species
UUUUACCUAGUUUAAAAAAAAUAUUAGCUUGUCAAGCUAACGUUGUGCUUUUGCACGGUAAAAG